CUGUUGGUGCUUACCAUGCAGUCGAGCGGUAAGGCCCUUCGGGGUACACGAGCGGCGAACGGGUGAGUAACACGUGGGUAACCUGCCCUGUACUCCGGGAUAAGCCUGGGAAACUAGGUCUAAUACCGGAUACGACCCCAUGGGGCAUCUUGUGGGGUGGAAAGUUCCGGCGGUAUGGGAUGGACCCGCGGCCUAUCAGCUUGUUGGUGGGGUGAUGGCCUACCAAGGCGACGACGGGUAGCCGGCCUGAGAGGGUGACCGGCCACACUGGGACUGAGACACGGCCCAGACUCCUACGGGAGGCAGCAGUGGGGAAUAUUGCACAAUGGGCGAAAGCCUGAUGCAGCGACGCCGCGUGAGGGAUGACGGCCUUCGGGUUGUAAACCUCUUUCAGCAGGGACGAAGCGUGAGUGACGGUACCUGCAGAAGAAGCACCGGCUAACUACGUGCCAGCAGCCGCGGUAAUACGUAGGGUGCGAGCGUUGUCCGGAAUUAUUGGGCGUAAAGAGCUCGUAGGCGGUUUGUUGCGUCGGCCGUGAAAACUUCACGCUUAACGUGGAGCCUGCGGUCGAUACGGGCAGACUUGAGUUCGGCAGGGGAGACUGGAAUUCCUGGUGUAGCGGUGAAAUGCGCAGAUAUCAGGAGGAACACCGGUGGCGAAGGCGGGUCUCUGGGCCGAUACUGACGCUGAGGAGCGAAAGCGUGGGGAGCGAACAGGAUUAGAUACCCUGGUAGUCCACGCCGUAAACGGUGGGUGCUAGGUGUGGGGGGCUUCCACGUCCUCCGUGCCGCAGCUAACGCAUUAAGCACCCCGCCUGGGGAGUACGGCCGCAAGGCUAAAACUCAAAGGAAUUGACGGGGCCCGCACAAGCGGCGGAGCAUGUGGAUUAAUUCGAUGCACGCGAGACCUUACCUGGGCUUGACAUGCACCGGAACCUGCAGAGAUGUAGGCCUCUUCGGACUGGUGUACAGUGGUGCAUGGCUGUCGUCAGCUCGUGUCGUGAGAUG
rnacentral:rRNA from 1 species